rnacentral:ncRNA from 2 species
AAUAUUUAAUCCAAGCAAGAGUAACGGAAUCGGGUUAGAGUCCCGAACGGUACGGCCACUGUAAGCCGAGCUUACUCCAUCGGACAGUUGUCCGGUCCAUUGGCGCAAAUGCCGAGAAGGAGGAGAAAAGCGUUGAAGCAAGUCAGGAGACGACUCUUGCAUUAGAUUGGCCC